rnacentral:rRNA from 1 species
GAUGAACGCUGGCGGCGUGCCUAAUACAUGCAAGUCGAGCGAACAGACGAGGAGCUUGCUCCUCUGACGUUAGCGGCGGACGGGUGAGUAACACGUGGAUAACCUACCUAUAAGACUGGGAUAACUUCGGGAAACCGGAGCUAAUACCGGAUAAUAUAUUGAACCGCAUGGUUCAAUAGUGAAAGACGGUUUUGCUGUCACUUAUAGAUGGAUCCGCGCCGCAUUAGCUAGUUGGUAAGGUAACGGCUUACAAAGGCAACGAUGCGUAGCCGACCUGAGAGGGUGAUCGGCCACACUGGAACUGGGACACGGUCCAGACUCCUACGGGAGGCAGCAGAAGGGAAUCUUCCGCAAUGGGCGAAAGCCUGACGGAGCAACGCCGCGUGAGUGAUGAAGGUCUUCGGAUCGUAAAACUCUGUUAUUAGGGAAGAACAAAUGUGUAAGUAACUAUGCACGUCUUGACGGUACCUAAUCAGAAAGCCACGGCUAACUACGUG